rnacentral:rRNA from 1 species
UAGAGUAAUGCGUGACCAACCUGCCCCAUGCUCCAGAAUAGCUCUUGGAAACGGGUGGUAAUGCUGGAUGCUCCAACUUGACGCAUGUCUUGUUGGGAAAGUGUUUAGUGGCAUGGGAUGGGGUCGCGUCCUAUCAGCUUGUAGGCGGGGUAAUGGCCCACCUAGGCUUCGACGGGUAGCCGGCCUGAGAGGGCGGACGGCCACAUUGGGACUGAGAUACGGCCAGACUCCUACGGGAGGCAGCAGCU